rnacentral:rRNA from 1 species
UGGGCGUAAGGGCUCGCAGGCGGUUUCUUAAGUCUGAUGUGAAAGCCCCCGGCUCAACCGGGGAGGGUCAUUGGAAACUGGGAAACUUGAGUGCAGAAGAGGAGAGUGGAAUUCCACGUGUAGCGGUGAAAUGCGUAGAGAUGUGGAGGAACACCAGUGGCGAAGGCGACUCUCUGGUCUGUAACUGACGCUGAGGAGCGAAAGCGUGGGGAGCGAACAGGAUUAGAUACCCUGGUAGUCCACGCCGUAAACGAUGAGUGCUAAGUGUUAGGGGGUUUCCGCCCCUUAGUGCUGCAGCUAACGCAUUAAGCACUCCGCCUGGGGAGUACGGUCGCAAGACUGAAACUCAAAGGAAUUGACGGGGGCCCGCACAAGCGGUGGAGCAUGUGGUUUAAUUCGAAGCAACGCGAAGAACCUUACCAGGUCUUGACAUCCUCUGACAACCCUAGAGAUAGGGCUUUCCCUUCGGGGACAGAGUGACAGGUGGUGCAUGGUUGUCGUCAGCUCGUGUCGUGAGAUGUUGGGGUAAGUCCCCGCACGAGCGCAACCCUUGA